AAAUUGAAGAGUUUGAUCAUGGCUCAGAUUGAACGCUGGCGGCAGGCCUAACACAUGCAAGUCGAACGGUAACAGGAAGCAGCUUGCUGCUUCGCUGACGAGUGGCGGACAGGUGAGUAAUGUCUGGGAAACUGCCUGAUGGAGGGGGAUAACUACUGGAAACGGUGGCUAAUACCGCAUAACGUCGCAAGACCAAAGAGGGGGACCUUCGGGCCUCUUGCCAUCAGAUGUGCCCAGAUGGGAUUAGCUUGUUGGUGAGGUAA
rnacentral:rRNA from 1 species